GCUUUUAUUCCCAUGGCUGGGAGCAACUAGCUAGCAGAUUCUUGGGGUCCAAAAGGAAGUCAGCCCUACAGUAUAAAGGAAGCCUUCCACAUGAUCAAUCAGUUACCCAACCUCUUUCCCUGUUGUGGCUCUGCCCUCCUCUGGGGUCUUGGAGUUCUCACCAUAAACAGCAAUUGUCGCCACAAAUGAAGAAUGUUCACGUUUGUUUUACAACUUCUUAAUGCACCGCAUUCAGUCUUCCUGUAAACUUGACUGCUUAGUCCUUAAAGUAUAUUGGUGGAGCAAUGUCUGCAUGCCUUCGUCAACACAUCUAUUGGCCUGUUUGUCCCAGCAUCCCAGUUGGAAUGGGAACCCUUCUAAGAAAAGCCUUUAUCCUUUACUCACCUACAAACUCACUGGGCACCCCCGGAAUUGUGGUCCUGGGCGUAUAGCAGGUGUCUAGUCACUCUUUUCUGGUUGUGCCAGUAAUUGGGGCCUGAUUACAAUUCUGUUUCAUCCAGUGCACCUCAAUGGAGAGAAACCAGCAAGAAACUCAUGCUUUCUGCCCCAUCUCCUUCCUUUCUUCUGUGUGUAAAGUGGAGAAAAGGCUGGAGAGUGUGGUAAGAUAGGAAGAAACCAAGCAAAGCACACAUAAACAAACAAAUGAAUAAAUAAAAGGGAAAAAUAGGGGAGAUUUUGAGUUGUCAAGAAAAGAAGAACUCUGAACUUUUGGCACAGACUCAAACCUGGAAACCCAGUGAGGUUUGCCCAUCACUAAUGAUCACAUAAUAAUAUGUUCCCAGGGGAGGGGCUGAGAGAGGCUAUUAAAAUACCGCAGCUCUGGUGCUC
ensembl:lncRNA LINC01713 long intergenic non-protein coding RNA 1713